AUUGAAUCCACUGAGUUAACUUCAAUUGAGGAUAGUGAUGGUCGUGGUCUCCCAUCUCAAGUUCCAAUUCAUAUUGAAGAACCCUUGAACAUACAGCAAUAUCACAAAAAUGAUGUAGGUUUAUUCAUACAAAGAAAUUCAAUUUACUACAGAUGCAAAUUUACUACUUAAAGCUAUGGAUUCUGAGUUUAUAGUGUCAGUCUAUGUUGUUAAGCUGUUGUUUUCAUUUGGUCUUCCUUUAUGUAAGCAAUUACAAAAAGAAAGGAUUGAUUUAAAGGAAGCAGUUGACCUGACAAAAGACAUUGUUUCAGAAUUGAAAUCUAUGAGAAGCGAAUGUGAUAACGAGUUCAA